rnacentral:rRNA from 1 species
CCUUCGGGUGGUGGAUAGUGGCAGACGGGUGAGUAACGCGUGGGAACGUGCCUUUCGGUUCGGGAUAACCCAGGGAAACUUGGGCUAAUACCGGAUACGCCCUCCGGGGGAAAGAUUCAUUGCCGAAAGAUCGGCCCGCGUCGGAUUAGCUAGUUGGUGGGGUAAAAGCCUACCAAGGCGACGAUCCGUAGCUGGUCUGAGAGGAUGACCAGCCACACUGGGACUGAGACACGGCCCAGACUCCUACGGGAGGCAGCAGUGGGGAAUAUUGGACAAUGGGCGCAAGCCUGAUCCAGCCAUGCCGCGUGGGUGAAGAAGGCCCUAGGGUUGUAAACCCCUUUCAGCGGGGAAGAUAAUGACGGUACCCGCAGAAGAAGCCCCGGCUAACUCCGUGCCAGCAGCCGCGGUAAUACGGAGGGGGCUAGCGUUGUUCGGAAUUACUGGGCGUAAAGCGCGCGUAGGCGGACCUGCAAGUCGGGGGUGAAAGCCCGAGGCUCAACCUCGGAACUGCCUUCGAUACUGCGGGUCUCGAGUCCGGGAGAGGUGAGUGGAAUUCCUAGUGUAGAGGUGAA